rnacentral:lncRNA from 1 species
CCCUAUUAAUUAGUUUCUACAAAUCCAAAGCAAUAAAACUACACAUUUUGCCAAUAUUCAUGCUUGAAUCCAAAUUUAAACUCAAACAAUAACCUAAAAAAAAACUAAAAAAGCCAUUCACCUUCAUCCUUACCGAACAGACCCGAGUAUCCCUAGGCCUUUUACAUUCAAGCAAAACUAAUUAGAGUUCUAUAAAUAAAUGACAGUAUUCAAUGGCAUAUUCCAUUACACAUGAAGAACCUAAUUAUGAAAGUAUAGGACAGAGUAAUCUAUGAAAGUAAAGCUAGAUUAUGGACCACAAUUUAGUGUUAAGCUAAAAAAAUAACUUCCAUGUCCAUUUCAACUCCAAUUUGAACAUCAAUUAUACAAGUUUAAGAACCAGUACCUGGAAAUUAAACAAGAAACAAAGAAAUGUGAAGUCAAGGACCAGAAACAGAAUAUCAGCAACAAGACAACAACAAUUUAACACCAGCAAGGAAGCAGCCUAGCCAAAUCAAGUUCAAAAAUAACAGGAGGCUAAAUCACUCGAACGAAUAACAGAACAAACUUCAGAACUAAGCCUCCAAACCCAAUUUCGAAUCGUUUUUGAACUCUAUUAACCAAGUAAACUCUUCAGGGAGCAAAAACUUAAGAAAACUACAAAGAUUGGCAAUGGAACAAUAAACUUUUUUUGCCUUUUUUUAUUUUUAUUUUUUAGUUCUUAAAUAUCUUUCUUUGUUCUCUCUUUUUGACUCUCUCUUCUCCCUCCCUGUCCAGCUAUAUUCUUCAACCUUUUAUAGACAUUCAAUUAGUGCAAUCCCCAUUACGAGUAUCCCUUCCCUUAUUUUAAUUAUCCCCACUAACUUAGUUUCUCUAAAUUAAUCAAUUAUUGUCACUCCCAUUAUCAAUUUCAACUUUUCAUUUCUUAAUUGUCCACUUAAAUUAGUUAGUGUAAUUCUAACCCUACCACUAUUGAGAAGCUUCUCAAUUAGGUGAAUAUCAUUUUUAUUAAACAAUUCUUAAGCUAAUUCAACUAAAUGGGUUCAGGUCUAUAUAAUCGAAGGGCCAAAAGAUAUUGUUCAACACACUUCGUCCUAAUUUCUCGCCUCAGUUUUAAGAAAGGUGGUGGAAUCAUACACUUGGAGACAAAAAAACAAGCUGCAAGGUUAACGAAGGAACCAUGUGCUAGAAAUGUCAAAGAUUACAAAGCUCUUUUAUGUAAAAGGCAUAUCAACUUAUACAAUGGCAAGUUGGCAACCACGCCUAUAGACAAUAGUGACAUUUUUUGAGAUUACAGUUUAGCAUACUUUAUUGUAAGAGCAUCUAGGAAAAGUAAUCAGAGGCACACAACCACGAACACAUUUAAGCAACUAUAGAUAUUUUCAAAAUGGGUAAGGUAACCACAAACUCUAAAUAUUUACAAAACCAUUAGAACAUUACCAUCCAAACAAAACAUUAAGAAAAAUGGGAGAUAGACCUGAAGAAACUUUCAGAUUUAUUGAGUUGCGGCAAUUACACGGACUGAAAUGAAGCAACAACUAUAGCCGGACAUCCACACAGAUGCGAACGAAAUCAGCAAAAUCGAACCUGAACUUCGGAUUUGAACCUAUCUUCCAAACUCAAGCAAAACAUCAGUGGCAAAUUCAAACAGGAACCGCAAGCGAAAUCGAGACCUCGAACUGGAAACCUUGUCGAAUUCGAAACAGGCUGCAUUCAACGGCGACCUCCACAUAAUUCAAACUCAGAAAUGGCUCCAACUUAGAUUAAUUCUAUGGUUUUUUUUAAUCGAAAACAGACGGACAAGAGAAACCAUGGAAUACGAAUCAGUAGAAUUUGAACCCAAAAUCAGACUUCGAAUUUCCUUACACGUUGUUGUUGUACUCGUCUCCUUCGUCCGUCCCUCUUUGGAUCUAUUUUUGUGUUUCUUUGUUGUGUUUUAGCCAAGUGAGAUCGAAACCAGUGGUUAUUAGUUCGCUUUUUGUCUCUUCACUUCAUUUUCUUCUCUUUUUCGCAGAUUGUUGCUAAUUUCCUUUGGGUCUUUAGUUGUUAGGUUCCAGGGAUGGGUCGUUUGUGGUGAAGAUGAGGCGUAGAGAAGAAGAUGACUGACGAGGGGGUGGGGUUUUUUGCACUGUUACGGCAGAUUGGAUUGUUAAGGUCUAGGUUAGUUGAAGAUAGGGAUCUGGGUCGGGUCUAGAUUGGGGCGGAU